rnacentral:rRNA from 1 species
UACGAAGGGGGCUAGCGUUGCUCGGAAUCACUGGGCGUAAAGCGCACGUAGGCGGAUUGUUAAGUCAGGGGUGAAAUCCUGGAGCUCAACUCCAGAACUGCCUUUGAUACUGACGGUCUUGAGUCCGGGAGAGGUGAGCGGAACUCCGAGUGUAGAGGUGAAAUGCGCAGAUAUCAGGAAGAACACCCGUGGCGAAGGCGGCUCUCUGGGACGUGACUGACGCUGAGACGCGAAAGCGUGGGGAGCAAACAGG